UACAAUAGUAUCCAUCUAUCGAUCCGUAGGAGCUAAAAUAUUUAAUAAGCACACAUAAGUAUAACCCACUAUCAUAAUUUUUAUUAAGACCAGACUUCGAUGACUGACCAGGCAGCAGCACUAAAAAGUUCACCAAAUGGUCCUGGUCUUCCUCAUUGGCCAAGAUACGACCAGGUAGCUGGGCUCUACCAACGAUUUGACAGCAAUAUAUCACCACAAUAUCACGUGACACUUGACAGGGUCCAUUUUUGGAACCAAUACCUUCCAUCAUUAGCGAAGAAUACUCCAAGUACAGUCGUCGGAUAAAAACAUUCUAACAGUCAUCCUGAUUAUAUUUGUGAUGUUGACAUCAACCAGAUUAUUACAUCGUCGUUAUAUAUACCGUGAUUAGCAUUGACUUCUGUUGAAAAAAACAUUUUAAGAUGAUGAAAUGAUGUACAAUUUAAUUGAAACAACCAGGUUUGAUUUCCCUUCAGUGUUUAGAAAAAAAGUAUUAAACGUUCAAUUCCU